AUGUUGGCUUAGAAGCAGCCAUCAUUUAAAGAAAGCGUAAUAGCUCACUGGUCGAGUCGGCCUGCGCGGAAGAUGUAACGGGGCUAAACCAUGCACCGAAGCUGCGGCAGCGACGCUUAUGCGUUGUUGGGUAGGGGAGCGUUCUGUAAGCCUGCGAAGGUGUGCUGUGAGGCAUGCUGGAGGUAUCAGAAGUGCGAAUGCUGACAUAAGUAACGAUAAAGCGGGUGAAAAGCCCGCUCGCCGGAAGACCAAGGGUUCCUGUCCAACGUUAAUCGGGGCAGGGUGAGUCGACCCCUAAGGCGAGGCCGAAAGGCGUAGUCGAUGGGAAACAGGUUAAUAUUCCUGUACUUGGUGUUACUGCGAAGGGGGGACGGAGAAGGCUAUGUUGGCCGGGCGACGGUUGUCCCGGUUUAAGCGUGUAGGCUGGUUUUCCAGGCAAAUCCGGAAAAUCAAGGCUGAGGCGUGAUGACGAGGCACUACGGUGCUGAAGCAACAAAUGCCAUGCUUCCAGGAAAAGCCUCUAAGCAUCAGGUAACAUCAAAUCGUACCCCAAACCGACACAGGUGGUCAGGUAGAGAAUACCAAGGCGCUUGAGAGAACUCGGGUGAAGGAACUAGGCAAAAUGGUGCCGUAACUUCGGGAGAAGGCACGCUGAUAUGUAGGUGAAGCGACUUGCUCGUGGAGCUGAAAUCAGUCGAAGAUACCAGCUGGCUGCAACUGUUUAUUAAAAACACAGCACUGUGCAAACACGAAAGUGGACGUAUACGGUGUGACGCCUGCCCGGUGCCGGAAGGUUAAUUGAUGGGGUCAGCGCAAGCGAAGCUCUUGAUCGAAGCCCCGGUAAACGGCGGCCGUAACUAUAACGGUCCUAAGGUAGCGAAAUUCCUUGUCGGGUAAGUUCCGACCUGCACGAAUGGCGUAAUGAUGGCCAGGCUGUCUCCACCCGAGACUCAGUGAAAUUGAACUCGCUGUGAAGAUGCAGUGUACCCGCGGCAAGACGGAAAGACCCCGUGAACCUUUACUAUAGCUUGACACUGAACAUUGAGCCUUGAUGUGUAGGAUAGGUGGGAGGCUUUGAAGUGUGGACGCCAGUCUGCAUGGAGCCGACCUUGAAAUACCACCCUUUAAUGUUUGAUGUUCUAACGUUGACCCGUAAUCCGGGUUGCGGACAGUGUCUGGUGGGUAGUUUGACUGGGGCGGUCUCCUCCUAAAGAGUAACGGAGGAGCACGAAGGUUGGCUAAUCCUGGUCGGACAUCAGGAGGUUAGUGCAAUGGCAUAAGCCAGCUUGACUGCGAGCGUGACGGCGCGAGCAGGUGCGAAAGCAGGUCAUAGUGAUCCGGUGGUUCUGAAUGGAAGGGCCAUCGCUCAACGGAUAAAAGGUACUCCGGGGAUAACAGGCUGAUACCGCCCAAGAGUUCAUAUCGACGGCGGUGUUUGGCACCUCGAUGUCGGCUCAUCACAUCCUGGGGCUGAAGUAGGUCCCAAGGGUAUGGCUGUUCGCCAUUUAAAGUGGUACGCGAGCUGGGUUUAGAACGUCGUGAGACAGUUCGGUCCCUAUCUGCCGUGGGCGCUGGAGAACUGAGGGGGGCUGCUCCUAGUACGAGAGGACCGGAGUGGACGCAUCACUGGUGUUCGGGUUGUCAUGCCAAUGGCACUGCCCGGUAGCUAAAUGUGGAAGAGAUAAGUGCUGAAAGCAUCUAAGCACGAAACUUGCCCCGAGAUGAGUUCUCCCUGACUCCUUGAGAGUCCUGAAGGAACGUUGAAGACGACGACGUUGAUAGGCCGGGUGUGUAAGCGCAGUGAUGCGUUGAGCUAACCGGUACUAAUGAACCGUGAGGCUUAACC
rnacentral:rRNA from 1 species